rnacentral:rRNA from 1 species
UAGGGAAUCUUCGGCAAUGGACGAAAGUCUGACCGAGCAACGCCGCGUGAGUGAAGAAGGUUUUCGGAUCGUAAAACUCUGUUGUUAGAGAAGAACAAGGACGUUAGUAACUGAACGUCCCCUGACGGUAUCUAACCAGAAAGCCACGGCUAACUACGUGCCAGCAGCCGCGGUAAUACGUAGGUGGCAAGCGUCGUUCGGAUUUAUUGGGCGUAAAGCGAGCGCAGGCGGUUUCUUAAGUCUGAUGUGAAAGCCCCCGGCUCAACCGGGGAGGGUCAUUGGAAACUGGGAGACUUGAGUGCAGAAGAGGAGAGUGGAAGUCGAGGUGUAGCGGUGAAAUGCGUAGAUAUAUGGAGGAACACCAGUGGCGAAGGCGGCUCUCUGGUCUGUAACUGACGCUGAGGCUAGAAGGCGUGGGGAGCAAAGAGG